CGCGGGGCGAGCCUAGCAGGGAAGGCAGCGGAGAAGGCGAAGGAGCUGAGAUCCACAAGGAAGAUUUAUUGGGCAGAUCAGAUGCACAGAGGCGGCUAAUGAAGCAAAUCCCGAGAUGGGUAUCAGAGCAACUCCCCAAAAGUUUAUUUGCCUUUAAAUUUCCGCAGGGAGGCGGGUGCCUUGUUUGAAGUGUAAAUGCCCCUAGGUUGGGGGGUGGAAAGGCCGCUUUGAAAACACCAGAGAGAAAAGGUUCAUUUAGAGGCAGACGGGAAAAGCAACCAACCCUGACAGUUCAGGCUCCCCAAGACAACCUCCUGGAUGAUCAACAUAGGGAGACCUGGGGCAAGGCUUACUUUUGUUCUGAGCAUCUCUCGUUAGUGCGUGUUCGUGGGGUUGCGAGGCCAAAGCAAACCCGGGAGCGCCAUCUGCAGGCCUCUAGAGGAAAAGACUGACCUUCGGGGCCGGACCCUGCGUUUCAACCUCUCGCCGGAGGGAACCUGCUCCGCCGCCCAAGGGAAGUGGGGUGAGGGCUGGGAGGGAGGUGUCCAGAGGGGACUGUUUUUUCCUCCCAAACUUUAUCCCCCGCAGGUGGAUUAAGCUGAUCGGGCUCAGGAAGAUCCAGGAGGGAGGGCAAAUGCCAGGAUCCCAGAGAACGCAGCCCAAGGAGUGGGAGGCUCAGAACCCUGUCUGCUGAGCCUGGUCCGAACCCCGCCCGAGGAUUAAGGUCGCCCAGAAAACCCGGGUACGAGACGCUCAGUAGUAGGCUGAGUUGAGCUGAGUCAGGCAGGUGCGUUAAUCUAUGUGCCGCCCAGGCUAGGGCCAGAAGGACAGGGGCGCAAGUCCGUGGCGCUUCUCUGGGGCACCUGGGGCUUCGGACAGAGGCCGGAAGAACCUCGCGUCCGGGCGGCAAGAGCGCAGCGCAGCUCGGGCUUCGCGGAGCCGCCCUUUUGCAGACCUAGGAAAGCGGGGGGGGGGAGGGAGCGAAGGAGGGAGAGAGAGUUAAAACAUCAGCUGAAGUGCCAAGAUGAUUUAUGAGACGAGGGAAAAUAUUUCAUAAAGAUCUCCCGGAUAUUCUGUACUUAACCAGUUAGGAGACAAAGGGCUUCUCCUGCCUGGUGCAUGCACGCAGACCCUAGUGAGCAAGGGAACGAGUGCCGGCGAGGACUGCGGAGGCUGGGCCAGCAGCUCCAGUAGAGUGGAGCCAGCCCGGCGCACUGCGCCUCCUGCGCUCGCUCCGGAUCUGCCGAGCUUAGCAGCGGGCGGCGCUCAGCCGCGUUCGCAGCCUCCUCUUCUCCCCAGCCGGGGAGAGCAAGCCUCGGUCUCCCGCGUCCUCUGCCGCCAGCAACGUGCCGCUGCUCACUGUCUUCUCUCCCCAGUCCCCAUCCCUGGCCACCUGAGAGUCCAGGAACCAAGUCCCAGGCUCUCCUGUCUUCCGUUGGGACCCACCGAGGCAGGUGGGUCCUCGCCAAGGUCUCCAGCUCCAUUCUAAACCAAGCGCACUGGACUGCCCAGAUCCGGUGGGCAAGGGAUCGAGGGAGGCCCUGCGCGCAGCCGCGCGUGGGACAAGAGAGGAAAAACUGUUGGGCACUUUUCCCCGGAAUGCGAAUUGGGGGUGCGUGGGUGGGGAGGUACCUCAAGAGGGAAAAGCGAAAGGGAAGAACCAAAGAGGAAGAGCCAGGAAGGACCCGAAGGGAACGCAGAGGUGAGGGUAGCAGGUUUAGGGCUAUGGAUUCGAACUGGGCCCGGGGCCGCGCGGUCCAUGCGGGCACUGGCCGGUGGAUGGCAGGGCUGGGCGAGUUGGGACUGAAAGCCUGGCUUUUCAGCACCGCGCGUUCCGCGGCCCUCUGUCGUUGCCUGAAUAUUCAUUAGACUGGCCGCUCUUUAUCCUUAUCUAACGUUUAUCUUAUCGGCGAGUUUCGUUUCUCAGUGUAGUUUUAAUCCCGGGCUCCCAUUCCUCCUCCCCCUAGCCCUCUCCCCUGCCUCCCUCCCUCCCUGCCUCCCUCUCUCUUCCUUCGCUCGCUCUUCCCUCCCAUUUCCCCCUCCCCUGCCCUCCCCCUUGCCGGCACCGGAGUGACAGGCGCGGGGCCCUCCUCGCCGAAGCUCGGGGCUCCGGCGCUGGCGAAUCACAGAGUGGUGGAAUCUAUUGCCUUUGUCUGACAAGUCAUCCAUCUCCCGGCGCGGGGAGGAGGAGGGGGUCUGGAGGGGGCUUUGCAGCUUUUAGAGAGACACACACCCGGAGCCGAGGCUCCAGUCUCCGGCCGAGUCUUCUCGCAGCCGCAACCCACCUGGGGCCAGCCCAGCGCUGCCGGCGCCGCUCGGCUCCCUCCCUCCCUCCCGGCCCUUCGGCCGCGGCGGCUUGCGCCAGCCUUUUCCGGGGGCGGGGGCCCGGCUCGCGCGCUCCCCUCCCGCUGGCGCCCGCUCGGACAUCCCGGGGAUUGCUACUUCUCUGCCAACUUCGCCAACUCGCCGGCACUUAGAACGGCCCCGCUCCCCUCCUGGCGCCCUCGGGCCGCCCCCGCCCCGCACCCUCUCCGACCAACGCCUCUCGGAUGACCGGGUUCCAGGGGAGCUGAGAGAGCCGCCUCCCCCGCCCGGCUUCAGCCUUGGCCGCGGCUGCACCGCGCGAGCCAUGCGCUCCCAGUGCCCCUCGGCCCGGCCCGCCGCCCCGGAGCCGCUCUGCUGACUGCCCAGCCCCGCGCCCCGACGGUGGGAAGUUGCGGACGCUGCGGUGGCCAGCCUCGGCCAGCUCCGAGGAGCCACCGAGAGCUCAGCGCUGCUCCCCGCUGCCCCCGCGCGCCCCGCAGCAGCCGGGCGCCCGCUCACCCUCCCUCCCCCAC